UACGUAGGCAGCGAGCGUUGUUCGGAGUUACUGGGCGUAAAGGGUGCGUAGGCGGUUUUCUAAGUUUGGUGUGAAAUCUCCCGGCUCAACUGGGGGGGUGCGCCGAAGACUGGAAGGCUUGAGUAUGGGAGAGGUAAGCGGAAUUCCUGGUGUAGCGGUGAAAUGCGUAGAUAUCAGGAGGAACACCUGCGGUGUAGACGGCUUACUGGACCAUAACUGACGCUGAGGCACGAAAGCGUGGGUAGCAAACAGG
rnacentral:rRNA from 1 species